rnacentral:piRNA from 1 species
UAGAUUAAUUCACAGGCAUAGAGGAUUCUGC